rnacentral:misc_RNA from 1 species
GAUGAAGAACGUAGUGAAAUGCGACAAGUAAUGUGAAUUGCAGAAUUCAGUGAAUCAUCGAAUCUUUGAACGCACAUUGCGCCCGGCAGUACUCUGCCGGGCAUGCCUGUUCGAGCGUCAUUUCAACCCUCAAGCCCUGCUUGGUGUUGGGGCCCCACGGCUGCCGUGGGCCCUGAAAGGAAGUGGCGGGCUCGCUACAACUCCGAGCGUAGUAAUUCAUUAUCUCGCUUAGGGCGUUGGGCGGCGCUCCAGCCGUUAAAGAACCAUCUUUAACUCAAGGUUGACCUCGGAUCAGGUAGGAAUACCCGCUGAACUUAAGCAUAUCAAUAAGCGGAGGA